UACAGAGGUCUCAAGCGUUGUUCGGAUUCAUUGGGCGUAAAGGGUGCGUAGGUGGCGCCAUAAGUCAGGUGUGAAAUCUCGGGGCUCAACCCCGAAACUGCAUUUGAUACUGUGGUGCUCGAGUACUGGAGAGGAGAUUGGAAUUUACGGUGUAGCAGUGAAAUGCGUAGAUAUCGUAAGGAAGACCAGUGGCGAAGGCGAAUCUCUGGACAGUUACUGACACUGAGGCACGAAGGCCAGGGGAGCGAACGGG
rnacentral:rRNA from 1 species